ensembl:lncRNA
AUGAUGAUGAUGAUGGCGGAGGAGGACUGCGUCGGCUUCCAGGCGCAAAUCGCCUCCAUCAUCGAGAUCCUGGCCAACUCCGCCGUGGCGGAGAUCUGCAAGCUGGUGGACGACGGCUACGCGGCGCUGCGCUCCCAGAUGGAGCGGGAGCGGGAGAAGAGCGCGCGCGAGAACGACGCGCUGCGCGCCAAGCUGCGGGACACCGACAUGAAGCUGCGCGGCUACGAGAGGAAGAUGAGGAGACGGGGUCGGAGAGAGGAAGCCCCCGCCGCUCGUUUCGGGCCGUCCGAAGGAGCUGACAUCCAUCAGCCGGUGGUGCCGCCUCUUCCUGCGCCUUCUCCAGACGCAACCUGCCUUCACGUGUCAAAGCAGGAGGAGUCGUUGCCGCUGGUGAAGCAGGAGAAGGUGGAGGGAGACGACUGCAAUCUGGACCUGAAGGUGGAGGUCAACAUUAGGGCGGAGUGUGACCUGUCCACCGGGUCGCGUCCCUGUGCUGGCCAACGCCAAAUACAACUCAACGGGUCCGACCCAAACCCGGGACCGGGUGUGGCACAGUCCACCGGACGUCAUCUUGAGGUGUGAGGACGCUUUAAUGGCCUGACCCAGCGGAUAAACGGAAGGCCGCGUUGGACCGGAGGUCUUAAGACGACCGUGAGUGACGGUGGGAACGAGAGAAGCGGUUCCCUCAGAGAGGAGCUCGGCGGGUUGACGCACGGGUCUCGAGGCGCCGCAGAGGGAGGGGACGCCAUAAGCUGCCAUUGAUAAAAAAAAAGAAUUAAAAAAAAGCACGGCCUGACAGUGCGCAGGACGUCUUUUACAAGUUAGGAGGGAGCAGUACUGAGCUGGGGAGAUGAUUUAAUCUGAGAGACAGUGGUUUCUAGAAGUGAGAAGGAGAUUGGCUGAAAUUGGGUCAGCACUUCGUGCUUUGAGGGGGCGGAGGGGCAAGUGGGGCAUCCAUGUCCGGAACAAUCAGUCCUCACGUCCUCUAACUUUUGUAAACAAAGUCACUCGGAAAAAAAAAAACCCUCCGCUCAUUCUGGCCUCUUCGCAGCGGAGGAACUAUUCACAGCAGGAUCAAUGUCAAUUAAAAUCAAAUGGGAGAAAUAAAACUUAAGCUGCUGUCUGUCUGAAAGUUGAAGAGAAGGGAGACAAAUUGCCUCUCGGCCUUUAAUAAACAUCCAGCUCUUUCUUGUCUGCUCAUUGAGUCACGGAUAACCAUCACAAUUCACUACCUGAUUUGGAAAGGAGCAGUAUGGCCACCGCAAUGCAUCAUGGGACGGCUCCUACAUGAAAGCGCUCACGGGUUGGGCAUUGCGUCAUGCAUUGGGCAGAAUUGGCAUUGAAAACAACUUUAUUUACUCACUUAUGGUUUAAUUCUACAGGGACGAUACAGUAUUAUUAUUAUUAUUCUUAGAGGUCAUUUAGCCGACGCUUUUAUCCAAAGCGACUUUACAUUUUCAACCCGUGGCUU